rnacentral:tRNA from 1 species
GCCGAAGUGGCGGAACUGGCAGACGCGCUGGAUUCAGGGUCCAGUGCCCGCAAGGGCGUCGGGGUUCAAAUCCCCGCUUCGGCACCA